AUGCAGAAGUUGUUCAAGAUGUCUGACCUGGGUUUGCUAAGUUUCUAUCUUGGAAUUGAGGUGAAGCAGACAGAGGAUGGCAUUGUCAUCUCGCAGAGCGCGUAUGCACGGAAACUCCUGGAGAAGAGUGGCAUGGCUGGCUGCAAGCCCUGUCACGUGCCCAUGGAGCCUCGUUUCAAGCUAUCGAAGGAGAGCACGGCGCCACCAAUGGAUGCGACGGAGUACCGUAGCAUCGUCGGCAGCCUAUGUUAUCUGGUGCACACGCGCCCUGACCUGACCUUCUCGGUUGGGUACGUCUCGCGGUUCAUGGAGGCGCCAACUAAAGAACACCGCACCGCCGUCAAGCACAUCUUGAGGUACAUUGCCGGCACCCUGCAUCUGGGUUGCAAGUACAACAGAGGAGUUGGUGAGCCUGAACUCACCGGAUACAGCGACAGUGACCUUGGCGGCGAUGUGGACACCCGCAAGAGCACCUCCGGGACCCUGUUCUUGCUCGGAGGAGGAGCGAUAACCUGGCAAUCGCAGAAACAGAAGAUUGUGGCACUCUCUAGCUGCGAAUCAGAGUAUGUCGCACCAACCACAGCUGCCUGUCAGGGAAUAUGGCUCGCGCGCCUGCUCGGGGAGUUCAGAGAAAUGGAGGAGAAGACAGUGAGACUCAAGGUCGACAACAAAUCCGCAAUCUCUCUGGCGAAGAACCUAGUGAUGCACGACAGAUCGAAGCACAUUGAGCUCAGGUAUCAUUUCAUCAGAGAUUGCGUGGAAACGAAGAAGAUCGAGCUUGAAUAUGUGGCAACAGAAUUUCAACUUGCAGACAUGCUCACCAAGCCCCUUGGUCGCGUUCGACUGCAGCAGCUCCGCUCAAGCAUCGGCAUGAUCGAAGCAACACCCUGA
rnacentral:rRNA from 1 species